rnacentral:rRNA from 1 species
CCCUUAGACGUUCUGGGCCGCACGCGCGCUACACUGACGAAGGCAACGAGCUUUCCUUUACCGAAAGGUACGGGUAAUCUUUUGAAACUUCGUCGUGCUGGGGAUAGAUCCUUGCAAUUUUUGAUCUUAAACGAGGAAUGCCUAGUAAGCGCAAGUCAUCAACUUGCGCUGAUUACGUCCCUGCCCUUUGUACACACCGCCCGUCGCUACUACCGAUUGAAUGGUUUAGUGAGGCCUUCGGAUCCGCGACUCGUUUGUGGAGAAGUUGGACAAACUCAGUCAUUUAGAGGAAGUAAAAGUCGUAACA